AUUGAACGCUGGCGGCAGGCCUAACACAGGCAAGUCGAACGAGUGGCGGACGGGUGAGUAAUGUCUGGGAAACUGCCUGAUGGAGGGGGAUAACUACUGGAAACGGUAGCUAAUACCGCAUACCAUCAGAUGUGCCCAGAUGGGAUUAGCUAGUUGGUGGGGUAACGGCGCACCAAGGCGACGAUCCCUAGCUGGUCUGAGAGGAUGACAAGCCACACUGGAACUGAGACACGGUACAGACACCUACGGGAGGCAGCAGUGGGGAAUAGUGCACAAUGGGCGAAAGCCUGAUGCAGCAAAGCGGCGUGUAUGAAGAAGGCCUUCGGGGUGGAAAGUACUUUCCGCGGGGAGGCGGUAGCCGCAGAAGAAGCACCGGCUAACUCCGUGCCAGCAGCCGCGGUAAUUC
rnacentral:rRNA from 1 species